CGGGUGGUAAUGCCGGAUGCUCCAUCACACCGCAUGGUGUGUUGGGAAAGCCUUUGCGGCAUGGGAUGGGGUCGCGUCCUAUCAGCUUGAUGGCGGGGUAACGGCCCACCAUGGCUUCGACGGGUAGCCGGCCUGAGAGGGCGACCGGCCACAUUGGGACUGAGAUACGGCCCAGACUCCUACGGGAGGCAGCAGUGGGGAAUAUUGCACAAUGGGCGCAAGCCUGAUGCAGCGACGCCGCGUGAGGGAUGGAGGCCUUCGGGUUGUAAACCUCUUUUGUUAGGGAGCAAGGCAUUUUGUGUUGAGUGUACCUUUCGAAUAAGCACCGGCUAACUACGUGCCAGCAGCCGCGGUAAUACGUAGGGUGCAAGCGUUAUCCGGAAUUAUUGGGCGUAAAGGGCUCGUAGGCGGUUCGUCGCGUCCGGUGUGAAAGUCCAUCGCUUAACGGUGGAUCCGCGCCGGGUACGGGCGGGCUUGAGUGCGGUAGGGGAGACUGGAAUUCCCGGUGUAACGGUGGAAUGUGUAGAUAUCGAAAAA
rnacentral:rRNA from 1 species